GCUACUGGUAACCAGAGCUUUGACAAUAAGGGCUGGACAGUGGCCCUGCUGUGAGAAGAGAGAAAAGGAACGGGGCUGAGGGAAGGACGAGAGACAAGAUCCAGAGGGUGCUGCUCCCUUGGGAAUAGAGAAGGCGAGGGAAGGAUAUUGUCUUGGUGCCUGUGAAUUCCAGAUCUGAAGGCGAUGCUAUUGGAUCUGGGUCUUUCCUCAUCAGCCCACUCCUGGAAAUGGUGGGCAGCUGGAGCCAAGAUGACAAAGGGGAAGAUUAGAGGCAACUGAGACCUAAGUCCUGGACCUGGAAGGUGAAAAGGCAAGAGGAUGAUAUCCUACGAGGGUCUCAUGAUCACCUUCUAAAGGAAAGGAUGUUUUAACACGCAAGCGUGGGAAGGACUUUGUGGGUGAUAGCCACGCAUUCAACAAAAGCCACCGCUGGACUCCAGUUCCCAGCCUUGCAGUUGGAUGGACCGUGGGGAUGUGGCGGAAGUGAGGCUCACCUCUUGCUGUCCUGGCCCACAAAAGCCUCCCACAAUCCUCCUCUCUUUUGUUCCCCAGGUCGACUGCAUCAGAAGCUCUGGGCUGGGGCUCAGCAGUCUGCAUUUGAACAGACCUUCCAGGGGCUUCUGAGGGCUGCUCAAGUUUGAGAACUGCUGCUCUAAGGGCCUCCCCACACAGCUGGCUUGACCUUGCUCACAGCAUGGCAGUGUCGGAACAGCCAGACUCAGGACAUGGCAGCUGGUUUCCCCUAGAGGACCAUUCGAGGAGAGGAUGCUGCUACUUCUUUAAAGCCUUGGGCGCACCGGAAAAGAGGAAAUUGGAGAAGGCUUUGGAGAAGGACGUGGAAAAAGCCCUGCGUGUGUGAAGCUCUUUUCUCCGUGCCCGGAGGAAAUGCGAAAGGGGACCGUGUGAACAUCUGUGGGAGCUACUGAGAGGCUCAGGAUUAGCGUCAAUGCCUGUUAUGACAUUCUGCCUUUCAGCUCAAUAAAAUGAUUUUUUG